rnacentral:rRNA from 1 species
UACGUGGGGGGCAAGCGUUGUUCGGAAUUACUGGGCGUAAAGGGCUCGUAGGCGGCCAACUAAGUCGGACGUGAAAUCCCUCAGCUUAACUGGGGAACUGCGUCCGAUACUGGAUGGCUUGGAUUUGGGAGAGGGAUGCGGAAUUCCAGGUGUAGCGGUGAAAUGCGUAGAUAUCUGGAGGAACACCGGUGGCGAAGGCGGCAUCCUGGACCAAUAUUGACGCUGAGGAGCGAAAGCCAGGGGAGCAAACGGG